AACGCACAUUGCGCCCCCUGGUAUUCCGGGGGGCAUGCCUGUCCGAGCGUCAUUACAACCCUCAAGCCUAGCUUGGUGUUGGGCUCCGCUGCCUGGCGGGCCCUAAAGUCAGUGGCGGUGCCGUCCAGCUCCGAGCGUAGUAAUUCUUCUCGCUCUGGAGGCCUGGGUGUGUGCUUGCCAGCAACCCCCCAAUUUUAUCAGGUUGACCUCGGAUCAGGUAGGGAUACCCGCUGAACUUAA
rnacentral:misc_RNA from 1 species